AGCGAACGCUGGCGGCAUGCCUAACACAUGCAAGUCGAACGAGACCUUCGGGUCUAGUGGCGCACGGGUGCGUAACGCGUGGGAACCUGCCCUUAGGUUCGGAAUAACUCCCCGAAAGGGGUGCUAAUACCGGAUAAUGUCUUCGGACCAAAGAUUUAUCGCCUUUGGAUGGGCCCGCGUUGGAUUAGCUAGUUGGUAGGGUAAAAGCCUACCAAGGCGACGAUCCAUAGCUGGUCUGAGAGGAUGAUCAGCCACACUGGGACUGAGACACGGCCCAGACUCCUGCGGGAGGCAGCAGUGGGGAAUAUUGGACAAUGGGCGAAAGCCUGAUCCAGCAAUGCCGCGUGAGUGAUGAAGGCCUUAGGGUUGUAAAGCUCUUUUACCCGGGAUGAUAAUGACAGUACCGGGAGAAUAAGCUCCGGCUAACUCCGUG
rnacentral:rRNA from 1 species